UACGGAGGGGGCUAGCGUUGUUCGGAAUUACUGGGCGUAAAGCGCGCGUAGGCGGCCAUUUAAGUCAGAGGUGAAAGCCCGGUGCUCAACAUCGGAAUUGCCUUUGAGACUGGGUGGCUAGAAUCCAGGAGAGGUGAGUGGAAUUCCGAGUGUAGAGGUGAAAUUCGUAGAUAUUCGGAAGAACACCAGUGGCGAAGGCGGCUCACUGGACUGGUAUUGACGCUGAGGUGCGAAAGCGUGGGGAGCAGACAGGAUUAGAAACCCCAGUAGUCC
rnacentral:rRNA from 1 species